rnacentral:rRNA from 1 species
AGACCCGAAACCCGGUGAUCUAGCCAUGGGCAGGUUGAAGGUUGGGUAACACUAACUGGAGGACCGAACCGACUAAUGUUGAAAAAUUAGCGGAUGACCUGUGGCUGGGGGUGAAAGGCCAAUCAAACCGGGAGAUAGCUGGUUCUCCCCGAAAGCUAUUUAGGUAGCGCCUCGUGAAUUCAUCUCCGGGGGUAGAGCACUGUUUCGGCUAGGGGGCCAUCCCGGCUUACCAACCCGAUGCAAACUGCGAAUACCGGAGAAUGUUAUCACGGGAGACACACGGCGGGUGCUAACGUCCGUCGUGAAGAGGGAAACAACCCAGACCGCCAGCUAAGGUCCCAAAGUCAUGGUUAAGUGGGAAACGAUGUGGGAAGGCCCAGACAGCCAGGAUGUUGGCUUAGAAGCAGCCAUCAUUUAAAGAAAGCGUAAUAGCUCACUGGUCGAGUCGGCCUGCGCGGAAGAUGUAACGGGGCUAAACCAUGCACCGAAGCUGCGGCAGCGACACUGUGUGUUGUUGGGUAGGGGAGCGUUCUGUAAGCCUGUGAAGGUGUGUCGUGAGGCAUGCUGGAGGUAUCAGAAGUGCGAAUGCUGACAUAAGUAACGAUAAAGCGGGUGAAAAGCCCGCUCGCCGGAAGACCAAGGGUUCCUGUCCAACGUUAAUCGGGGCAGGGUGAGUCGACCCCUAAGGCGAGGCCGAAAGGCGUAGUCGAUGGGAAACGGGUUAAUAUUCCCGUACUUGGUGUUACUGCGAAGGGGGGACGGAGAAGGCUAUGUUGGCCGGGCGACGGUUGUCCCGGUUUAAGCGUGUAGGUGUGUGUUCCAGGUAAAUCCGGUUCACUUUAACACUGAGGCGUGACGACGAGGCACUACGGUGCUGAAGCAACAAAUGCCCUGCUUCCAGGAAAAGCCUCUAAGCAUCAGGUAACAUCAAAUCGUACCCCAAACCGACACAGGUGGUCAGGUAGAGAAUACCAAGGCGCUUGAGAGAACUCGGGUGAAGGAACUAGGCAAAAUGGUGCCGUAACUUCGGGAGAAGGCACGCUGACACGUAGGUGAAGUGAUUUACUCAUGGAGCUGAAGUCAGUCGAAGAUACCAGCUGGCUGCAACUGUUUAUUAAAAACACAGCACUGUGCAAACACGAAAGUGGACGUAUACGGUGUGACGCCUGCCCGGUGCCGGAAGGUUAAUUGAUGGGGUCAGCGCAAGCGAAGCUCCUGAUCGAAGCCCCGGUAAACGGCGGCCGUAACUAUAACGGUCCUAAGGUAGCGAAAUUCCUUGUCGGGUAAGUUCCGACCUGCACGAAUGGCGUAAUGAUGGCCAGGCUGUCUCCACCCGAGACUCAGUGAAAUUGAACUC